UGCCCCUGCCCACUAAGGCCCUGACUUGGCAGAGCUUCCACCCUGCCCUGCCAUGAGCAACUGGCUGUUCUGCUGGGUGGCCCUCAGUCUCCUGGGGGCAGACCACACGGACGCUGGAGUCUCCCAGGACCCCAGGCACAGGGUCACAGGGAGGGGUCAGAAUGUCACUCUCAGGUGUGACCCAGAGUCGGGCCAUGCUACUCUCUAUUGGUACCGGCAGACCCCAGGGCAAGGUCUGCAGUUCAUGACUUACUUCGACCGUAAAGAAGUUCUUGACGAGUCAGGCAUGCCUGGGGAGCGCUUCUCUGCUAAGAGGCCCCAGGGAUCUUCAUCCACCCUGAACAUCCAGCCUGCAGAGCCUGGGGACUCAGCUGUGUACUUCUGUGCGAGCAGCUUAGCCACAGCGUGGCACUGCCAGCUCCCUCCUGCUCACAAACCUCAUCCGUCUGUGUCCUGGCAGCUCUGAGGGAGCUUCAGUGGAGGGCAAGCUCUGAUCUUCUUGCCGCCAAAGAAGUAGGGUUGAAGCCCAUCAUCCUGUGACAGG